GGGGCUGUGGCUCAAUAGCAGAGCCCCUGCGUGGCAUGCAGAAGGCGCCAGGCUCAAUCCCUGCUGGCAACCA